UACGAAGGGGGCUAGCGUUGUUCGGAUUUACUGGGCGUAAAGCGCACGUAGGCGGAUCUUUAAGUCAGGGGUGAAAUGCCGGAGCUCAACUUCGGAACUGCCUUUGAUACUGGAGAUCUUGAGUUCGAGAGAGGUGAGUGGAACUGCGAGUGUAGAGGUGAAAUUCGUAGAUAUUCGCAAGAACACCAGUGGCGAAGGCGGCUCACUGGCUCGAUACUGACGCUGAGGUGCGAAAGCGUGGGGAGCAAAC
rnacentral:rRNA from 1 species